AUACGUAGGUGGCAAGCGUUGUCCGGAAUUAUUGGGCGUAAAGCGCGCGCAGGCGGUUUCUUAAGUCUGAUGUGAAAGCCCCCGGCUUAACCGGGGAGGGUCAUUGGAAACUGGGAGACUGGAGUGCAGAAGAGGAGAGUGGAAUUCCAUGUGUAGCGGUGAAAUGCGUAGAUAUAUGGAGGAACACCAGUGGCGAAGGCGGCUCUCUGGUCUGUAACUGACGCUGAGGCGCGAAAGCGUGGGGAGCAAACAGGAUUAGAUACCCUGGUAGUCCACGCCGUAAACGAUGAGUGCUAAGUGUUAGGGGGUUUCCGCCCCUUAGUGCUGCAGCAAACGCAUUAAGCACUCCGCCUGGGGAGUACGACCGCAAGGUUGAA
rnacentral:rRNA from 1 species